CCUACGGGAGGCAGCAGUGAGGAAUAUUGGUCAAUGGGCGCGAGCCUGAACCAGCCAAGUCGCGUGAGGGAGGACGGCCCUACGGGUUGUAAACCUCUUUUGCCGGGGAGCAACGGGCGUCACGUGUGGCGCCACUUAGAGUACCCGGAGAAAAAGCAUCGGCUAACUCCGUGCCAGCAGCCGCGUUAAUACGGAGGAUGCGAGCGUUAUCCGGAUUUAUGGGGUUAAAAGGGUGCGUAGGCGGAUCGUUAAGUCAGUGGGCAAAUUUAGGGGCUAAACCCCUUCCCGCCAUUGAAACUGGCGCUCUUGAGUGGAAGAGAAGUAUGCGGAAUGCGUGGUGUAGCGGUGAAAUGCAUAGAUAUCACGCAGAACCCCGAUUGCGAAGGCAGCAUGCCGGCUUCCGACUGACGCUGAAGCACGAAAGCGUGGGGAUCGAACAGGAUUAGAUACCCCAGUAGUC
rnacentral:rRNA from 1 species